CAGAGUUCAUGCCCUUACGGGUAGAUCUCCCACCCUAUGUUAUUAUUACUUUGUUGCUUUGGCGGGCCGUCAGGCCUCGGUCAGGCUACCGGCUCUAGCUGGUAAGCGCCCGCCAGAGGACCCCAAACUCUGAAUAUUAGUGUCGUCUGAGUACUAUAUAAUAGUUA
rnacentral:misc_RNA from 1 species